GACCGCGUAGCUCAGUUGGUAGAGCAUUGGGCUAGUUUUCCAAAGGUUGUAGGUUCGAUUCCCACCGUGGUCA
rnacentral:tRNA from 1 species